GUAGGAGGGAAAAAGCUCUCCAGCUCUCCAGUAACCUGGUCCAGAGAGUCAGCCUUGAAGAACCUGCCUUGUGCUCCUGAGUGUGGAAGAUGUUGGCUGUUUGUGCUCCCCAUUAUCCAUAUCCUUUUAUGGAUGACAAUGAUUGGCCCAAAGAUGGAUCCAAGCUCCUCAGGAGGCUGAGGCAGGAGGACUGGUUGAGCCCAGGAAUUCAAGACCAGCCUGGAGAAAAUAGCAAGACCCUGUCUCAGUAAAUAAAUAAAUAAAUAAAUAAAUAAAUAAAUAAAUAAAUAAAUAAAUACGGUGGGCAUAUGACUCAAGUCAGGCCAAAAGGAGCCAAGAAAAGUCAAUUCCUAGAACUUCAUCAGAGUAAUAAUCAUCUGAAAAGAAUUUGGGGUAUGGCUUUUACUGCCAGAUUUCUAUAGAUGAAGCCAAGACUGAAGCCAACACAGAAGAAAGGCGAACUGAGACAUGACCCACGUCACAUCCCUAUAACAGGCUUGAGCCUUCAUCCAGCCAUAGCCACAUCCUGGCAGAUCCCUGGACUUUUUGUUACAUUCUAUAAGCCUGAGGAGUGAGUCCCAAGAUGGAAGAAACCUAUGUGAUGGCAGAGGGUGAGACGCCCCGGAGAAGAGGAAUAUAUCCCCUGGGAUGAGAGACAAGAUAAACGCUUGAAUCAACACACUCCUCCACAGAGAGUCCAUUUGCUUUCCCGACAAACUGCAUUGGAUUGGAUUUCACAGGCUGCUGAGGCAAUGCAAGGAGACAGCUUUCAGACUCCUGGAGAGAGGAGGCUGCAGGAGCGUGAUCAGGACAACAGCCACGUGGCCCAUGCUCUCCAGCAACACCCAAGGAGCCCAGGAUUCAGAGCAGGGCCGGUGGUGGGGAAAGCCCUGAACGAGAAUCCCACACUGGCUGCAUGACCUCAGAUGAGGCACCUUGACCCUGAAUCUCAGUUUCCCUACCUGUAAAAUAGGAUGAUAAUUUUUGCUGGUGUGGCAGAGUGGAAACUAAGUCUGGGAGUGUUUGGUUUGAUUAUUAGAAGAAACAGGCCAGGCACAGUGGCUCACGCCUGUAAUCCCAGCAUUUUGAGAGGCUGAGGUGGGUGGAUCACUUGAGGUCAGGAGUUCAAGACCAGCCUGGCCAACAUGGCGAAAUCCUGUCUCUACUAAAACUACAAAAACUAGCUGGGUGUGGUGGUGCACACCUGUAAUCCCAGAGUAGGCUGAGGCAGGAGAAUCGCUUGAACCUGGGAGGCAGAGAUUGCAGGGAGCCAAGAUGGCUCCACUGCAUUCCAGCCCAGGCGACGGGGUGAGACCCAGUCUCACAAAAAAGAAAAAGAAGGAGAAGAAGAAGAAGAAGAGGAAACUGCCCCAUAGAGUAGGCUUUUUCAGCCUCCUCUCCCUGGGUCCUCAUAUCAGCCCUGAUUGCCAGGAAGAAGAGAGGUGACGAUUUCCUCUCACAUAGUAAGGAAAUUGUGGCUCAGCGAUAAACUCCAGCUAGCUUGGGGAGUGAGAGGAAUGCCAGGAGUCAGUCGUGGGUGAUGGGCAGCGCCGGGCUCUCUAGGAGCUCCUGUGGUCGUCUGGCUUUAUCCCUCCUCAAAGAGCUGGGAGUAGGGGAGUGAGGCACUUGCCUCAGGCAUGCAAAAUGUAAGGGGGUGCCAAAAAACUCAGUGAUCAAGAUAAAUAAUAUCUUAAUGUGAUAUUUUUAAAAAUCAAAAUUGGUGCAAAAAAUCCAUAAUGAACAAAAUAUCUAAUUUUUAAAUAAAGAUAAGAUCAAUCCUUAUCUCAUAACACAAGCUGUCUCUUCUGCCUGAGCACAGAGGCAGGAAUGCCCUGGGAUGGAGGAAAUACUGCGUGGGACUCCAUAUUGGGGUUUUAUUCAUCUUGGCCUCUCAGUUCAGGGGGUGACUCUUUUUUUUCUCUGACCUCCAGCUUUCCCACCAGAGGCAGGAGAGCCAAGCAAUCUGCCCUUAGGCUCUGGAGUAAGGUAAAGCUGGAUGUUAAUCCCUGCUCCAUUACUUAUUAGCUAGGGGACCUUUGGAUAGUAGCUUGGAAUAGUGGCUUAACAUCCUGUAAACCUCAGUUUUCUUUCUUUUCUUUUUUUUUUUUUUUUUUUGAGAUGGAGCCUGGCUCUGUCACCCACGCUGGAGUGCAAUGGCGUGACCUCUGCUCACUGCGACUUCCGCCUCCCGGGUUCAAGUGAUUCUCCUGCCUCAGCCUCCUCAGUAGCUGGGAUUACGGGUGCGUGCCACCACGCCUGGCUAGUUUUUUGUAUUUUUAGCAGAGACAGGGUUUCACCAUGUUGGCCAGGCUUGUCUCAAACUCCUGACCUCAGGUGAUCCACCCACCUUGGCCUCCCAAAGUGCUGGGAUUACAGGCGUGAGCCUCCACGCUCGGCCUUAAACCUCAGUUUUCUAGUCUGUAAACCUCCAUUUUCUAAUCUGUACCUGCCUGGCUGGGUUACUGUGAAGAUUAAAUGAGAAAAUGUGCACAUGGCUUUUAACACAGGACCUCCGCCAUCAUAAGUGCUCAAUAAACAUUACUUACUGUUUUUACCUCUAAAUUAAGUAUCAUUGUCCUCAGUCCCAAAGUGAGACAAAUUAUAUGCUAAAGAGAUAUGAUAGCACCUAGAAGGAAGGAGAAAAAAAAUCAAGCACAGUGUCCCAUUCCACUGCUGGAAGCCACCAGGAAGACAGUACUAUCUACACAACUCUCUGUCUCCUAAAGGAAUUCUGGGCAUAGUCUGGGUGUUUCAGCCAGGCCCCUCCCAAGAGAAGUUCAAGGUUGAACCCAACCUGCUGGACCACAGGGAGUCUCCUAAUCCCAGCCACACAUUCCCCAGAGCAGGUGCCACAAGCCCAGAGACAAGUCACCAUGGGAAGGUGGAUGUCAGGGCAGCUGAGCCCUGAGGGUCUUGGUAAUGAAAAACUCCCCACCAACACUAUCACUGGUCCUGCUUCCCUUUUUGAAUUGGAUGCUAAGGAGCCUAGAGCUAAAUUUACAGCCCAUCUUUAGCAAGCACAUAAUACUUCACUUCAUACAUUUGGUGUGGAAACCUCCAUCUACAAUUCCUGCUGUUAUUUUCUGUUUGUCUCAUUUCCUCUCACUUGUUUUAAUGUACUUUACGCUGCCUUAAAUCCAUUUUGGAACAAGGUGGGGAAUAGAUAAAUACAUCCUAACUGUAUUUAAACAGCUUUCCAUUGUAUAUGUAUAUAUUCUUGUGUAUCUCUUUUCUAAAAAUUACUGCCUGCUGAUGCCUGCAAAUGGCUGUGUUUGCGUGUGCUAAUUGUGUAACUGACUGGAUUUAAAAUUGAGAGCUUUGAUGAGUACCCAGGAAGCAAGGAAACAGGGUGUUUUCAUUUUCAGUAUAAAAGGGAGGGUUGGGCCCAGGUGUCUGCCUUAAGAAUAGUCAGUUUAAGGCAAUGGUUCUCAACUGGGGCCAGUUUUCCCUCCCAGGGGGGCGCUUUUGGCAAUCUCUGGAGGCAUUUUUGGUUAUCACAACUUAGAGGGCAGGCAUCCGGCAUUGCUACUGGCAUCUAGCACGUAGAGGCCAGGGAUACUGCUAAACAUUCUACAAUGCACAGGACAGGCCCCUCAACCAAGAGGCACCCGGGCUAAAUCAUCAAUAGUGAUGAGGCUGAGAAACCCUGACUUCAAGGUAGAGGAGUUCUAGAAGGAAGAAGGAGCAGAGGCUUGCAGGUACCAAGGCUGCUCUGGGAACCCUCAGGGCAGCCUUCCUGAACCGGGCCAGGAAGAGGAAACAGUGGAGAGGGCCCCAGCUCCUCAGUUACCAGGAGAACCCGGAAUCUCUUACUGGGCCAUGAGAGAAACAAGAACAACUCAUGAAUGAAACAGAUUCCUCAGGUGUCCAGGAGGAGUGAGGCUUUUGUUGUCUAGGAAGGGGGAGCCUUUCAUCUGACACAAGAUAGCUUUUUUUUUUUUUUUUUUUUUUUUUUUUUAAGACAGGGUCUCACUCUGUCAUCCAGGCUGGAGUGCAAUGGUGCAAUGUAGGCUUACUGCAGCCUCAACCUCUGAGGACCAUCUGCUACACUCAGUCCACCAAUUCAAAUGCUAAUCUCUCUGGGGCCCAAGGGAUCCUCCUACCUCAGCCUCCUGAGUAGCUGAGAGCACAAGUGUGCACCGCCAUGCAUGGCUUAUUUAUUUAUUUAUUUUUGUAGAGAUGAGGGUUUUCCUGUGUUGCCCAGGCUAGUCUUGAACUCCUGGGCUGAAGCGAUUCUCCUGCCUUGGCUCCCCAAACUGCUGGGUUGAAGGUGUGAGCUGCUGCACUUGACCUCAGCAGCAGAUGUCUUCUAGUUGCCCCUGCUCCUCCUCCACUGAGAUCUCUGCCUCAAGAAGCUUCCAGUUUUGUUCAGCCCCAGCAGAGGAUAAGAAGGCAAAGAAAACUGAAGAAGGGACAUUGAUUUCCUGGCCCCUCUCCAUGGGGCUGCCUCAGGUCAGCUGAGUUCCUCCACUGAAGUCACAGCUCCUCUCAAAGGGUCCCUCUCCAUAAUAAUAUUUCCUUACAGACUCUGGUAAUGACUUAAUGUCAUCUUCUUUCAUCCUUCUAGGUUAGGGAUGGUCACAGCCCCCCAUUUGACUAGUGCUGGCAUAUUAUGCCAUGUCUCAUGGUUUCCCCAUAGCCUGCUGUAUUAGGAUUCUCCAGAGAAACAGAACCAAGAGGAGACAGAUAGAUAGAUAGAUAGAUAGAUAGAGAGAUAGAUAGGUAGAUAGAUAGAUAAUAGAUAAUUAGAUAGAUAUAUGAUAUAUUAUUAGAUAGAUGAUAUAGAUAGAUAUAUAAUUAGGUAGAUAGAUGAUAGAUACACAGAUGGACAGAUAGAUUACACAGAUACUAGAUAGGUAGAUAGAUGAUAGAAAGAUAAAUAGAUUACAUAGAUGAUAAAUAGAUGAGAUAGAUAGAGAGAUAGAUAGAUAAUAAUUAGAUAGAUAUAUGAUAUAUUAUUAGAUAGAUGAUAUAGAUAGAUAUAUAAUUAGGUAGAUAGAUGAUAGAUACACAGAUGGACAGAUAGAUUACACAGAUACUAGAUAGGUAGAUAGAUGAUAGAAAGAUAAAUAGAUUACAUAGAUGAUAAAUAGAUAUGAUAGAAAGAUAAAUAGAUUACAUAGAUGAUAAAUAGAUGAGAUAGAUAGAUAUAGAUAGAUAGAUAGAUAGAUAGAUAGAUAGAUAGAUAAUAGAUAGUGAUAUAGUUUGGCUGUGUCCCCACCCAAAUCUCAUCUUGAAUUGUAGCUCCCAUAAUCCCCACAUGUCAUGGGAGGGACCCAGUGCGAGGUAAUUGAAUCAUGGGAGUGGGUUUUUCUCAAGCUGUUCUUGUUAAUCAGUCUCACGAGAUCUGAUGGUUUAUAAAGGGUAGUUCCCUUGCACACUCUCUUUUGCCUGCCACCAUGUAAGAUGUGCCUUUGCUCCUCCUUUGCCUUCCACUAUGAUUUGAGGCCUCCCCAGCCAUGUGGAACCAUGAGUCCAUUAAAUCUCUUUUUCUUUAUAAAUUACCCAGUGUCAGGUAUUUCUUCAUAGCAGUAUGAAAAUGGACUAAUCCAGAUAGAUAGAUAGAUAGAUGAUAG
rnacentral:lncRNA from 10 species